CCUACGGGCGGCAGCAGUGGGGGAUAUUGCACAAUGGGGGAAACCCUGAUGCAGCGACGCCGCGUGUAGGAAGACGGUCCUCUGGAUUGUAAACUACUGUCGCCAGGGACGAAGAUGACGGUACCUGGGGAGGAAGCACCGGCUAACUACGAGCCAGCAGCCGCGGUAAUACGUAGGGAGCGAGCGUUGUCCGGAAUUACGGGGUGUCAAGGGAGGGUAGGCGGGGAGGCAAGUUGGGUGUUAAAUCUACCGGCUCAACUGGGAGUCGCACUCAAAACUGCAGCUCUUGAGUGAAGUAGAGGCAGGCGGAAUUCCUAGUGUAGCGGUGAAAUGCGUAGAUAUUAGGAGGAACACCAGUGGCGAAGGCGGCCUGCUGGGCUUUUACUGACGCUGAGGCUCGAAAGUGUGGGGAGCAAACAGGAUUAGAUACCCGUGUAGUC
rnacentral:rRNA from 1 species